GACGGAGGAUGCAAGUGUUAUCCGGAAUCACUGGGCGUAAAGCGUCUGUAGGUGGUUUAAAAAGUCCACUGUUAAAGAUUGAAGCUUAACUUCAAAAAUGCCGUGGAAACUUUUAAACUUGAGUAUGAUAGGGGUAGAGGGAAUUUCCAGUGGAGCGGUGAAAUGCGUAGAUAUCGAGAGGAACACCUGCGGCGAAGGCGGGUUGCUGGGCUGAUACUGACGCUGAGGAGCGAAAGCGUGGGGAGCGAACAGG
rnacentral:rRNA from 1 species